rnacentral:rRNA from 1 species
AAUAGAUACCCUGGUAGUCCACGCCCUAAACGAUGUCAACUAGUUGUUGGGGGAUUCAUUUCCUUAGUAACGUAGCUAACGCGUGAAGUUGACCGCCUGGGGAGUACGGUCGCAAGAUUAAAACUCAAAGGAAUUGACGGGGACCCGCACAAGCGGUGGAUGAUGUGGAUUAAUUCGAUGCAACGCGAAAAACCUUACCUACCCUUGACAUGGUCGGAACCCUGCUGAAAGGUGGGGGUGCUCGAAAGAGAACCGGCGCACAGGUGCUGCAUGGCUGUCGUCAGCUCGUGUCGUGAGAUGUUGGGUUAAGUCCCGCAACGAGCGCAACCCUUGUCCUUAGUUGCUACGCAAGAGCACUCUAAGGAGACUGCCGGUGACAAACCGGAGGAAGGUGGGGAUGACGUCAAGUCCUCGAUGGCCCUUAUGGGUAGGGCUUCACACGUCAUACAAUGGUCGGAACAGAGGGUUGCCAAGCCGCGAGGUGGAGCCAAUCCCAGAAAAACCGAUCGUAGUCCGGAUCGCAGUCUGCAACUCGACUG